CAGUAGCCGCGGGAAAACAGAGGAUGCAAGCGUUAUCCGGAAUGAUUGGGCGUAAAGCGUGCGCAGGCGGUUGUGUAAGACAGGUGUGAAAUCCCCGGGCUUAACCUGGGAACUGCGCUUGUGACUGCACAGCUAGAGUGUGGCAGAGGGGGGUGGAAUUCCACGUGUAGCAGUGAAAUGCGUAGAGAUGUGGAGGAACACCGAUGGCGAAGGCAGCCCACUGGGCCAAUACUGACGCUCAUGCACGAAAGCGUGGGGAGCAAACAGGAUUAGAUACCCGCGUAGUCCCUGUCUCUUAUCC
rnacentral:rRNA from 1 species